rnacentral:rRNA from 1 species
UGCCAGCAGCCGCGGUAAUACUGAAGGUGCAAGCGUUAAUCGGAAUCACUGGGCGUAAAGCGCUCGUAGGUGGCUUUGUAAGUCAGAUGUGAAAGCCCACGGCUCAACCGUGGAAUUGCAUUUGAAACUGCAAAACUAGAGUUCAGGAGAGGUAAGUGGAAUUCCUAGUGUAGAGGUGAAAUUCGUAGAUAUUAGGAGGAACACCAGUGGCGAAGGCGACUUACUGGACUGAUACUGACGCUGAGGUACGAAAGCGUGGGGAGCGAACAGGAUUAGAUA